rnacentral:lncRNA from 1 species
AAAUAACAAUCCAAUCGAGAAUUAUUAAUUUAAAAAAAUAAAGAAAAGCUUGAAAAAGCAUGCAAACAAAAUAAAUCCAAUAGCCUCACAAACAUAUCCUAACACAGACCAACAACUAAAUCAAACUUAAUAAUUGAGAGAGAUCGUGAAGAUAUUAAUGUAGUAAAGAAAUCAAACGUAAUGAUAUUAGAUGCAUUAACUCGUACUGUGUUAUCCAUACAAAUAUCAACGCCGUUGUGAGCCACUAUGAAGAGCAUUUCAAAUACCACCUUGUAUCAUCUUGGGCCGCCGUGAAGAGCAUUUCGAGGACCGGAUCGCAGUAAUGCUAUUGUGAGCCAUCGUGAAGAGCAUUUCGAAGACAGAUCGCCAUUCCAAAUAGGUUUGUUCUUCUCCCUUUGCUUCGAUUUCCAUAGACUCGAACCAAACUUGCUCCUCACUAGCUUGGUGUUUGUUCUCCCACCUUCGUCGUCGCUUAUGGUGUUGCUUUCUGCAGCCUUCAUCGUCGCCUUUAGCUUUUCCAGCCUUCGUCGUCGUUGUCGCCCCUUGACAGUCCAAUCCUACUGUAACAUAACUUGAAUGCUACGAAUCAAAGCUUAUAAUGGAGGUUCUAGUGGUGAUGGUGCAGGUGGAGGAGGAAGAGCCGCAAUGAAGGUCUGAGACCAAUAUCCCCAUAAAACCCUUGUUUGUUUUCUAGAAAGUUUGAUUAUGUUUUCUCAGGAAAAUUUGUUGCUAUCCCUCUUAGCAAAAUUUUUUUAUGGUGGAAAUUAAUUCUUUUUAUUUUUUAGAAAAUAAUAAAAAAAAAAGAUAUGUGUCAUUAUUUUAUUAGUUUAGUGUGGUGUUGAUGUAUCGUGUUUUAGUGACAUAUCAUUUUUUAAAAUAAAAAAUAACCAGAUGAACUGUCAUAUCAGAUUGUUAUCCGUCUUUUAAAUAGAGAUUGCACAAAUGAAUUAAGUGAUAUUUCAAUUAAAAUUUAAGGAAUUUUAUAAUACAAAUUAAAAUUUAGAAACUAUUAUAAUACAUAAAAUAAAUUUAAGAGACUGUCGAUGUAAUUUAUACAAAUAUCUAUAAUGCAUACAUUCUUUUAGAUAGAGUAUCCUAACAUAAUCGGAAAUCUAUGCAUAUUUGGAUAACCACAUUUAUUGAAAUCCCUAAAAAGUAUAGGGGUUUUUCUUAAUUUAGGAUUUCUGAGGAACAUAUUUCUCAUUAUAGGGUGAAAUUUAGUUCAUUUGGAUAUAUUGACAAAACUAUCAAUUUUGUACUCUUUUCUGAAAGUUAGUACAAAACAUAUCAUAUACAUUAGGACUAGCCAGGAAAAAAUAAUUUUAAUUAUGAAUUUAGAGCUAAUUUUUAUUGUUUAUUUGUGGAUGAGUAUUAUACAAUGAAUUUGGAUAGCAUCAAAAUUUAUAUAUGAAAAUAAAUAUUAAUUUUCAUUUUAUUAUUUAAAGUUUUUAUCGGUUAAAUAGUCAAAUUGGUAUUGGAUUUUUUUUUAAAAAAAAACCCUGACAUUUCUUUAUUUUUACUUGACUCUUAUAUAUAAACUAGUACUUUGCUCAUGUUAUUAGAUAAUUAUUUUAUUUAUUUUAUAUUUAGAAAUUUUAUUUUAAAUUUGUAUAUAAUUUAAUUUAUAAUUAUAAUAGUAUAAAAUAAAUUUUAUUUUUAUUUUUGUUAAUCUUUUAUAAAAGUCAUGAAAUAUAUUUUUGUGACAUUUUUGUAUUUUACAUGUUAAGGUAAAUAAACAUGAGAAGUAUAUAUACUUAUCAAUUUUAUUUCUUUUAUCUAUUUCAUUGCACUAAUAAAUUUUCAGUUAAUCUAAAUAAUAGUUAUUUUUAAUAAAUAAGAUAGUUAAUAUUUUUGCUAUUUUUUAAAAUUUUUUUUUGAUAUCACAUAUAUAGAUUGAAAUUAUUUAUUUAUUUAUUAUAUUGGAUUAAUAAGUUGUUCAACAUAUCACAAAUUUCUUUAACUAUUUUUAUCAUCCAAAUUUAAAAUUUAUACUCUUUUACUAUUUUAUUAAUUUUUAUUUGUAAAUAUAUAUAUAUAUAUAUAUAUAUAUAUAUAUAUAUAUAUAUAUACUUUAUAGAAAAAUAAUAAAAUUUAUUAUUAAUUUGUAGUAGCUAUAAUAAUUAUUGUACUAUAUAAUAAUCUUGUAUUCAAAUAAAUCAUAAAUACCAUAUUCAUUAUUAGCAUUUAAGACCAUAUUUAAUUCUUUUAUAAAAAUCUAUAGUUAAUAUUUUUGUGAAUAUGUCGUGUGUCAUUUUCUUAUUGAAAAAUAAUAUAACAUGACUUUAUAGAAUUUUGCCACGUGGAGUUUCAUGAAAAAAUUCAAUAUUUUAUUUAUUUAUAUAUAUAUAUAUAUAUAUUAGCAGAUUAGAUUAAACUUUUAUGGUAAUAUUUGUUUUGACUGAUUAUUGGUGCAUGCGCAUGAGUUUAUUUUUUUUAUAAUUUUCUUUUAUCAUUAUCAUUAGCAUUAUUUUGUUUCUAAAUGCUAGCAGGGUGUAAUGCAGAAACCUGCCUUAUAAAACUG